CAGACUCCUCUGUCCUUCCCCAAAACCCAGCCUUAGCUGCCUCAUAAACAGGAAAUAGCUAUUAACUGGGAGGAGGGAGGGGAGGGGAACUGCCUGGAGGAAGUAGUUGGCCCCCUCCCUCCAGGGGGGUCUCCAGCUGCUAGCUUCUCUUCCUGGGCCGUUGUUCCCCUCCCUAGGGCUUCAGGCCCAGACUGGAUAGGGGUCCUCCUCUUCCUCGUUACUUAGUAUUGGUUGAGAAGGCUGCGUGGUUCCCUCACUCCUAUCCAGAGUCUGCACAGCUGGCUGGACAGGCUAGGGGAGGCUGAAGUGUUUCUGAGCCCCCUUCCCUCCACCUUAGAUUUUUGCCAGGGGAGCAUGAAAAGACAGGAGGAUACCUGCCGAGUCUAGAAAUUGCAGAGGGUCUGCUCGGAUAGGGACCCUAAUAUGCUUAGGAGAUGGCGGUGGUUGGGGAACUGUGAGCACUGCCACACUAACUCCACAUCUCCCCAUCCCCCACUGGAGGCUCUCCCAUUCCUACCUUGGGCGGGACCAGAAAGGGAUUAAGGCCAUCCUUGGGACAUGAGCAUUUCCUUGCCUUAGUCCACUUCUUCCUCCAUCCCCCCAGGCAGAUCUGCACUGGAGUGGAGAGUAGAUUACAUACACGGAAGGUGAAAGGAAGAGGAGGAA